GCACGGCUCAUAACACGUAGUCAACCUACCCUAGGGACGGGGAUAACCUCGGGAAACUGAGGCUAAACCCCGAUAGGCUAUAGCCUCUGGAAUGAGCUAUAGCUGAAAUCUAUAUGGCCCUAGGAUGGGACUGCGGCCGAUCAGGUAGUUGGUGGGGUAAUGGCCCACCAAGCCUAUAACCGGUGCGGGCUCUGAGAGGAGGAGCCCGGAGAUGGGCACUGAGACAAGGGCCCAGGUCCUAUGGGGCGCAGCAGGCGCGAAACCUCCGCAAUGGGCGAAAGCCCGACGGGGUUAGUCCGAGUGGUCCCUGCUGAAGGGGCCUUUUGCCAGCUGUAAAAAGGCUGGCGAAUAAGGGGUGGGCAAGUUUGGUGUCAGCCGCCGCGGUAAUACCAGCACCCCGAGUGGUCGGGACGAUUAUUGGGCCUAAAGCAUCCGUAGCCGGCUUAACAAGUCCUCCGUUAAAUCCAACGGCUUAACCGUUGGGCUGCGGAGGAUACUGCUAAGCUAGGGGGCGGGAGAGGCGAGGGGUAUUCCCAGGGUAGGGGUAAAAUCCGUUGAUCCUGGGAGGACCACCAGUGGCGAAGGCGCCUCGCUAGAACGC
rnacentral:rRNA from 1 species